rnacentral:lncRNA from 1 species
GGAGGAGUCUUGAGGACACUGUGGAAGGUCGAACGUUGGAGGAGUCUGGGAUUCAAUUCUGCUGUAGAAGUUCGGACGAAGUCCGACUUUUGUAGGAGUUUGGAUGAAGUCCGCUUGCUGUAGAAGCUCGGACGAAGAUCGGUUGCCGUGGAAGCUUUGAUGGAGGCUUCUUAUUGUAGAAGUUCGGAUGAAAUCUGCUUGCAAUAGAAGUUCAGAGUAGAGAUCUGACUGGUGGAGCCCAUCCGUUA